rnacentral:rRNA from 1 species
CGAAUGGGGAGAUUCAUCGUCAGCUCAUUUUGUAUAUGUAUAAGUUAUGAUGCGGGUUACUACUUGUAGUAUUGCCUGCACAUUCUUGUAUAUUUAGUUGCAAGAUGUUGUCGGCGUGCACUUCUCCCCUAGUAGGACGUCGCGACCUGUUGGGUGUCGGUCUACGGCCCAAGUGAUACCCUUUAAUGUAAUUUAAAAAACAUUGAAGACCCUUGGUGUUUUCUGCCCGGCUACUUGCCAGUAUUCGUACGGUAUUUAGCCGCUAAAUUUAUUAAGCGUCCAUAUCCAUCACAAGCGAGGCUAAUUUACUGAUAGUACGGACCUAGUGCCGUCGUUGGUAUUGGCCAGCUGUUGGUUGA